rnacentral:rRNA from 1 species
AGUGAACGCUGGCGGUAGGCCUAACACAUGCAAGUCGAACGGCAGCACAGUAAGAGCUUGCUCUUACGGGUGGCGAGUGGCGGACGGGUGAGGAAUACAUCGGAAUCUACUUUUUCGUGGGGGAUAACGUAGGGAAACUUACGCUAAUACCGCAUACGACCUACGGGUGAAAGCAGGGGAUCUUCGGACCUUGCGCGAUUGAAUGAGCCGAUGUCGGAUUUGCUAGUUGGCGGGGUAAAGGCCCACCAAGGCGACGAUCCGUAGCUGGUCUGAGAGGAUGAUCAGCCACACUGGAACUGAGACACGGUCCAGACUCCUACGGGAGGCAGCAGUGGGGAAUAUUGGACAAUGGGCGCAAGCCUGAUCCAGCAAUACCGCGUGGGUGAAGAAGGCCUUCGGGUUGUAAAGCCCUUUUGUUGGGAAAGAAAAGCAGCAGGUUAAUACCCCGCUGUGAUGACGGUACCCAAAGAAUAAGCACCGGCUAACUUCGUG